CUGGCUCAGAUUGAACGCUGGCGGCAUGCCUUACACAUGCAAGUCGAACGGCAGCACGGGAGCAAUCCUGGUGGCGAGUGGCGAACGGGUGAGUAAUAUAUCGGAACGUGCCCAGUCGUGGGGGAUAACGCAGCGAAAGCUGUGCUAAUACCGCAUACGAUCUACGGAUGAAAGCGGGGGAUCGCAAGACCUCGCGCGAUUGGAGCGGCCGAUAUCAGAUUAGCUAGUUGGUGGGGUAAAGGCCCACCAAGGCGACGAUCUGUAGCUGGUCUGAGAGGACGACCAGCCACACUGGAACUGAGACACGGUCCAGACUCCUACGGGAGGCAGCAGUGGGGAAUUUUGGACAAUGGGCGCAAGCCUGAUCCAGCAAUGCCGCGUGCAGGAUGAAGGCCUUCGGGUUGUAAACUGCUUUUGUACGGAACGAAACGGUCUGCCCUAAUACGGUGGGCUAAUGACGGUACCGUAAGAAUAAGCACCGGCUAACUACGUGCCAGCAGCCGCGGUAAUACGUAGGGUGCGAGCGUUAAUCGGAAUUACUGGGCGUAAAGCGUGCGCAGGCGGUUAUAUAAGACAGAUGUGAAAUCCCCGGGCUCAACCUGGGACCUGCAUUUGUGACUGUAUAGCUAGAGUACGGUAGAGGGGGAUGGAAUUCCGCGUGUAGCAGUGAAAUGCGUAGAUAUGCGGAGGAACACCGAUGGCGAAGGCAAUCCCCUGGACCUGUACUGACGCUCAUGCACGAAAGCGUGGGGAGCAAACAGGAUUAGAUACC
rnacentral:rRNA from 1 species